rnacentral:rRNA from 1 species
GGGGGUGGAAGUGCAGCAAUGCAUGGAGCUGACCAGUACUAAUCGGUCGAGGGCUUAUCCAAUA